GGAUUCCUUCAUUUCGGCUGGACAAUGUACAGGUGCUGCAUGGCUGUCGUCAGCUCGUGUCGUGAGAUGUUCGGUUAAGUCCGGCAACGAGCGCAACCCACGUCCUUAGUUACCAGCAUUUAGUUGGGUACCCUAAGGAGACUGCCGGUGAUAAGCCGGAGGAAGGUGUGGACGACGUCAAGUCAUCAUGGCCCUUACGGGUUGGGCUACACACGUGCUACAAUGGCAUCUACAGUGAGUUAAUCUCCAAAAGAUGUCUCAGUUCGGAUUGGGGUCUGCAACUCGACCCCAUGAAGUUGGAAUCGCUAGUAAUCGCGGAACAGCAUGCCGCGGUGAAUA
rnacentral:rRNA from 1 species